rnacentral:rRNA from 1 species
CCUACGGGUGGCAGCAGUGAGGAAUAUUGGUCAAUGGAGGCAACUCUGAACCAGCCAAGCCGCGUGCAGGAUGACGGUCCCAUGCGUUGUAAACUGCUUUUAUCCGGGGACAAACUGAGUCUCGUGUGCCUUCCCGCAGGUACUUCAUGAAUAAGCAUCGGCUAACUCCGUGCCAGCAGCCGCGGUAAUCCGGAGGGUCCGGGCGUUAUCCGGAUUUAUUGGGUUUAAAGGGUGCGUUGGCCGUGCCUUAAGUCUGGUGUGAAAUGCCGGGGCUCAACCCGGGCAGAGCAGCGGAAACUGGGGGGCUUGAGUGGGCGAGAGGUAGGCGGAAGUAGUAGUGUAGCGGUGAAAUGCUUAGAUAUUGCGAAGAACUCCGAUUGCGAAGGCAGCCUACCGGAGGGUAACUGACGCUGAGGCACGAAAGUGCGGGUAUCGAACAGGAUUAGAUACCCGAGUAGUC